CUCCUGAGUGCCACUGCCCAGUGCUGCCAGCCCCUGGGAAAGAGCCACAGAGGAGCUGGUGACAAGCCCAAAGGGGCUUGAGAGCAUCAGGUGGGGUUCAAAUUGUAAUAGGGUGGGGCCCAGAAAGGGGAGGUUCCAGGUUCCCUGCCCCACCCAAGGGAGGGUGGAGCUGAGCAGGGAGGAGAAGCUGGAGAGGAGACAAAGGAAGGAAGGAAGCAGGAUGGAGUGCCAGGAGGAGACCUGGAGGAGGCAUGUGGAGCAGAGAGACAUGUGAAGAAACUGCGCUUGCUUCUUGAUCCUGAGCUGAGUGAAAUAGAUGUGGGAACUGCACCUGCUUGCUGACUUCAUGGAAGGAGGAAUCACACAGAUUGGAGGAGCCGGAAUGUUAGAGCCAAAGUCCCAAGUGCUGUAGCCAAGAGGGACCUAGAAAACUGCUCUGAGUUUCUGCCUCAUCCUGGAGACCGCCACCUCCUAUGGAAAACAUCUCCCAGCCUGCUCUGUGCUGCUGAAGGAAAUGCCAGGCAUCAUCUCCUAUUCAGAAAUGAGUGACUUACCCAUCUGGUCGGCAAUGCUAUCCUCACUUCUCUGCCAGCUGGGUGUGGACUUCCCGCUGCCACCAAUAUCUGACUGGGUGUUCUGCCUGUCGAUGGAGGCUGGGGAUCUGCGGCUUACUCCAAACCUGUGGCAAUUUCCCGAAACAAAGCGAAGAUGACAUCAGGGUCCUCACCCAUGGGGGAAGAUAGUCCUUGGUGUGAUAAACUAGACUCUCACAACAGAGAGAUAAACACACAGGGAGGGACAGCAAGUGGCAUAUUGGAAAGAGUAGGAAAUUAAGAAGACCAUCUGCAGCCAAGUUCCAGCUCCCCCCAAAGUCACUCCGGUUCACCUCCAUUUCUCUAAUCUGUAAACUGUCAACUCUACUGUAUGGAUCCAGGAAGAAAAAUCUACAUAAAAGCACUGGCAAAGAAGAGAAGGUUAUCAAAUAUUUUAAUAAAACUCCCACUAUAGCAUCUCCCUAGUUUUUUUCCACAAGUGCCACAAAUGACAGUCAUUUACAAACACAAUCAUAAACCUCACUCAAAAAACUACUUCCAUUAUAAAAACACAAACCUUGAUUUAUGAACACUUCAGUGAAAUUCCUUAUUUAAAAAAAAAAGAUUCACUAUGAACUUUUUCAUCUCCUUAAACAGUAGGGUCAUUGGUUAGUGUAGAAAAGCAAAUAGCCCUUUAAUUCUGUUCUAGAUUUACAAUGAAUUAACACCAUUUUUUAAAAAGGCAGAAAUAUAAA